CCCCUCUCCGUGAGUCCAGCUCCAUAUUCACAACUUUUCGCCGGCGGAACAAAAAACGAAAAAAAAAGGGGACGAACAUCCACCGGCACGGCUUGCUUCGGGGAUUUUGUAGGAGGAAAAAAAGGCGUUAAAACAUCAGAAAACAAAACUCCAAACCGUCGGGACCCCUCGGUCUUCACACCUUCCGCCGCCAUCGCCCCCGGUUAAUAUUCUUUAUGUUUUACCUGAUUUUUAAACUCCAGCGUCACUAGCUACCCUCUCCCCUGCCGCCGAAUUCUUCAAGGAGGAGGAGAAGAAGAAGGUUUUAAUCGCAAAGAUUUAUUCCGAAUCGCCUCAGCCACUCGCUCGCGCUCUCUGUCUGCGUCUCGCGACGACUGGCGCCCGGACCGGAAGUCAGCUCAGUGAUGGACGUGAGCCCUUGACCAAUUGGAAGGAAGAGGGCGGGCUCUCUAACCCCAGGACAGCUGACAACAACUACCUGCAUUGCCAUAGCGCCUGAUGGGAGACUUCAAGAUCGAGGGCACAUUUUGAAGAUGAAAGAAGAGAUUUAAAGCAGGCAUGAGGGUCAAAUCUUUUACAAGAGGUUGUUUCACAUGUGGGAACGAACCUCCAGAGGAAGUGAUGGGAUGGCUGUGAGGAAAAAAAACAGCGACACACAUGAGAAUUCCUAGAAGCAAAGCAUUCCAACCAGAACUCUAUCAACAAACACAUUGACUUGGACCCCAUUUACCAUCCUCUAAGGAAAUGACAUCACCACAGGAAAUGGCAUCACCAACCCAAGGAAACUUAACCACAUAAAUAGAAAGUGGGUCACUAACACCAGUGCUUCAUCAGAGGUUCAUUGAUAAUGUUACCUAGUAUGGUGAUGAACCAUCUGAAAACGAACCUUCCAGCUCAGCGAGCAAACUUAGAACCUCAACCUGAGCUACAAAUAAUCUCAAAACUCACUAGUUAAUCAUUUUAAUUGUGCCAUUAUAUCUGAAUAAAAGUAAGAUAUAUUAGCUACAUACAUUUAAUUCUUUAACAAAUUUGUUAAUGUUUCUGAGGUUCAUAACAUGCAAGAGUAAAUGGGAGGGAAAUGGAAGAAUUUAGCAAAAAAGUACAAGAGGCUUACAUAUUCAGAAUUUAAUAACUGUUUCAUUUUAAGUGUGUCAUUAUACCAGGUCAUGACGAUGCUGAACAGUAUGAUUUUGCAGGAUUUCAAUGAAUCUUUGACAUGUUAAAUUUUUGUACCGAUAUGUAUAAAUAAAAUUUCCUACCAGUAA